GGUCUUAUUACCGUGUUGGAUUCUCUCCUAUGCUUACUGCAGCAGUGAAAAGAGGAGACUGGUUCUGUUCAUUUCCCAAAUCAGUGCAAUAUGGUAUCCACCUUUAGAUGAUGCUUAGGAAAAAGUAAACUGCUGCCUUACUUUACUGCUGCAUCUCAAAUGUGCAAAAAUGCUACAUCUUGCGUAUUUGAGUGGCUCUGAAUUCAAAAUGGGCUGAUAAAACAAAUUAACUGAACUGAUGAGAUAGAGUAGGAGGUCACUGUGGUGGGGCUGUGGCUCUGGCUUGCUUGCUCACUGCAGUUCUGACAUUUCUCCCAAAAUCUGAGACCAAACUUCUGGCUGGGGAUGGAAUCAAUGCAAAAUUUUUGAGGAAAGUGUCAGUGCUGUAAGGCACACCUUGUUAUAGCAGUCCUGUGGUAUUGUGUUGGACCAGGGUGAUGGGCUGUGGCACGUAUUUCCUUCCCUUUUCCUCCCUCCAGAACUAAUGUUGCAGGUAAUUAAACUAUGUUGUCAAAUAUAGAGCUAGUUAUGCAUCUCAUUAAUCAGAUCCAGACUUCUGUGUUUUGCAGUUGAAUGUAACUUCCUUUGAGCUUGGCUGGAACAGAGACUGGAACAGAUUAUCUUUAUUUUGGAAAUCCAUGUCUGAGUUAUAUAAAAAUGAGGGAAAUAAAUCUGAGGCCAGCAUAGAAGGAUGCUGCUUAUCUAUGCAGUGUCUUCAAGUUAGUCCUUAGAAGAGUUGUAACAAAUGCAGUGCUUUGUAAGAGAGAAAAGAUGUCUCCUUUCUUUCAGUUUUGACAUCGUAAGAAAAAUUACAAUUAAUCCUGCUAGCCAAAUGUAGCUUGUCAUUUGUCUGUGCUUUUGCCCUUGUAUUUACUUAAGUACAGAAGAGAGUAAAAAGGAUUUAGGAUAAUUGAAGAGAGGAGACAAGGAAACUGAAAAUUUCUUGAGUAAAAAAUUGCAGUGUGCUUUCUUUACAUAGGAUGUGACAUUGAGAGCUGCUUUUUGUAUGAAUUGGGUACAAUUUUUUUGUUUGUUUGUUAUCAGAUAUCAGCAUAUUUUAUUUUACUUUUUUUUUUAUGUCUUGCAGAGCUUCUGUUUUCAUUCUUUACUAAUCUUUCCUGAGACUACCACCCAUCAAAAUUGUAACCAAGAACAUUUAACUAUUUUACAGAGGUAAACAUGAAGGCUAAGUGGAGUUUAAGCUUAAUUGUCUUGUUUCUUAGUUACAGCAGCUGCUGGUCACUUACUGUAUGGAUUCUCAGCAAUGGAUGUAUACAGAUACCCUGCAUGUGUGCCUGAGAUCAGAGAGCAAAAUUCUGCGAACACAGAUUGGAUUUCUGUACUCACAUCUCAGAUACCCUCUAAUGAGGUUGUGAAGCCAGAGUAGAGAUUCAUCGCAUACCUCCAAACACAACUGGCAACAAUAAGGACAAGGACAACUUCAGCUCAAAUGUGGACACCUACGAAGCGGUGGCAAGGAAGAGUCCGAAAAAGCAUGGUAAGGGGAGAGAUGACCAGUGGCUACCAUACACUCAUGGGGAACCCAGCUGCCCAGAUGGGUUGUGUAGUCCUGCGGAGGAAAAUCCUGUGCCUUGAAGAGAACGUAUACCAACUACCCCUUUGGUAGCUCUAUUAAAAGAUGUCUUUUUCACGUGCAUGCAGUUAUAUUUUAACCCUCCAGUCUAUCUUUGAAGCUGUUAGUGCUCUGGAGAAACAUUAAAUGUUGAAGGCUGGCCUGCUGGUUUUGGCUGAAAUAGAGAGAAAUAUGCAACGCUCUGAGAAAUUCCAGGACUCCCACUAGGUCAAAAAUUUUCUCUCAACUGUAGCAUUUCAUCAAGUUCCCCUGGUAACGUGUCUCAAUGUAUCACAAUCAUGAUUGCUUGGAAAUCCACCAGCUCUGCAAUGAGCUGAGAAUAUUUAUUGCAAGUGCUAGAUGGCAUUCUCUUAGUAGAGAUCUGGUUAGUUAUUUCCAUACAUCCCAGUUUCAGAGUGAAUGUUUCAUUUAUCUUACUGUAUGUUACAUGCUUUGGAUUAGACAAAUUCAGUUAUGAGUAUGUAUCUGCUAUAUAUAUAUGUAAUUAAUUACAUUAUUAAUUAACCAGUCUGAACAUUUAAAUCGAAGCUAAAUCACAAGUUAACAAUUCUUUGGGAAGCUCUUGGUGUAAUUCAAAACACUGUGGAGAUCUUCAAAACCCCUGUGUUAGUCACCUUGUUAUAACCAGACUAAUUGGGAACUCUGUGAUACCGGCUUGUUUCAGCACAUCUAAUUUUUACAAGACCCACUUCAAGCUGAUCUUUUUAUGGAAUGUGAUUUUUAAUUUUCUUUUCCCAGGUAAAAAUAAAGAAAGCUUUACUUGAGGUUUGUGGUGCACCUGUUCUCUGCUCUAAAGCUGGCUGACAGCAUAGCUGAAAUCUCACAGCAGACAUUUCCUGGCUUUGGUACAGUGUUUUCGAGCAAGCUGCUAAAAGUGGUCUAGCAAGUUGUUAUUUCAGGAAUCAUUUUCAACUGAAGGAACAAUGUGAUUUGCAUAAAGAACCAAGAAACUCUUCUUUUGUUGCCACUCUGGUCUAAAGAUGUCAUUAAUAUAGUAAGUCUGUAGUAAGAUGAGCUGGUUAUUUCCUCUGGAGUCAGAGUAUGUUUAGUAUUUUUUGACUCUGUGAUGUGCUGAGUCUCCUAGACCCUUAUUCUAGGAUGCAUGUUUCAAGACCAUUUCAGGAGUCUUCACAGUGACCUGAUGUACUGUUUCUUCAUGAGAAACUUGGGAAGCAGAGGUGGCAUAUUUCAUAUUGUGGGCCUCCCAGCAUCAUCUCCACGUGGUCCCAUAUGCUCAUUCCUGUUGUACCAAGAACUUACCGAGUUUGUACGUCUUUCCUCAUGAAUCAGAUAAAUGCAUCUCCUCCACGAGCUGCCUAUUUUCUUGUAUACUGUGCAUCACUUCCCCUGCAGAUUGGAAAGAGGACUGUGAUUGUCUUGUAUGUCUAACUGAGGGAUGCCCGUGUGCUGCCAGGGAGCAAACCGGAUCCAUGCAGUGUGUGAGUGAAAGCCAGAUCUUGAAAAGAAAUGUCUUGGCUUCCAGAAAGGGACAUGGAACUCUUUAAAUGAUGCAUUUGAACUAUAAAUGUGCAUGUACAUUUCAAUAUGUAUUCCUUAAAUACGCAGAGCUUAUGUAAGCAUCAGAUUUGUAUGUUAUAGGUAAGUGAAAAUUUUAAUAUUUUGCAGGCAAUGGAAUAUGCACCUUUGUAUUAAGCUGGGUUUAU